GGAUAACCCUACGAAAGGGUGGUUAAUACCCUAUGAUGCAAGGGGCCACAAAAGCUACCCGGAAAGAGGGUGGCCUCUGCUCUUUUAGCUGCCCCUGACGAGGCGCUCUAUUAAGUUGAUGGGUUGGUGGGGCCCAACCUACCGACCAUAUGACGGCGAGCCGGGCUGAUAGACUGGCCGGUCACAGCGGAACUGACACACGGCCCACACCGCUACGAAGGGCAGCANGAAUAAAUCAUGUGGAUGAACGCCUGAGUCAGCCAGCCACCCCGCGGGGAGGAAGAAGUUUUCUCGGUGUAAACUACUGUCAGUCGGGAGGAUGGGAGAAGUGCUGAAUAAUCUGUAUGAACGACCGUCCCCCUACAUGAAGGGACGGCUCACUACAUUCCGGGGGGCGAGCGAAUUCGGAAGUUCCUAGCGGUGCACAGAUCACUAGGCNUAAGCGUCUCCUCACGGAUGGUUAAGUGCUUAACUUAGCGCCCCGCUCACUACGGAAAUGACUAAAGAACUGCCCAUCUAGACUAAUUCCCCUGGAGGCGGAGUUAACCGUGUAGAUGUGAA
rnacentral:rRNA from 1 species